rnacentral:lncRNA from 1 species
AUUGGCUACAAGCAUACAAAUGAAGCUGGAGAACAAAGUCACCUGAGCUCUCUUACAAGGGUGAGAUGCAAACACACAAGGCUCAGAAGUGGCCUCACUGUCUCCUUUUCUCUUUCUCUGUUGCCCCUAGGCAAAAGGAGGAAAAUCUUCCAGCAAUACCUGCAGCUCGGGGCCAGCCCAGGUUUUACAGCCUGGUGUGCCAGCAUGGAACAAAAGGUUUUCAAAGAAACCUUUUGUCACCCUUGGAAGAAGAGGAGGCUUUAUACUUCCCAGGAGUUUGCAAGAGAAAGCCAAACCCCCCAUCUCUUAGUGAGACUGGAGUUUCAGGAAUAAGUUCCCCUCAUUCACAGACCACUGGAGACUGCAGCAGGAAACAGUGAGGAGAUGGUAUCAAUCAGAGUUGAAGGUUUGAAGAGAGGAGCCAUCCAUUCCUGUGAGACCAAAUGCACUGGGC